CCGGCGCACGGGUGAGUAACACGUAUCCAACCUGCCGUCUACUCUUGGCCAGCCUUCUGAAGGAAGAUAAUCCAGGAUGGGAUCAUGAGUUCACAUGUCCGCAUGAUUAAAGGUAUUUCCGGUAGACGAUGGGGAUGCGUUCCAUUAGAUAGUAGGCGGGGUAACGGCCCACCUAGUCAACGAUGGAUAGGGGUUCUGAGAGGAAGGUCCCCCACAUUGGAACUGAGACACGGUCCAA
rnacentral:rRNA from 1 species